GGCCCACCAAACCGACGAUGGAUAGGGGUUCUGAGAGGAAGGUCCCCCACAUUGGUACUGAGACACGGACCAAACUCCUACGGGAGGCAGCAGUGAGGAAUAUUGGUCAAUGGCCGAGAGGCUGAACCAGCCAAGUCGCGUGAAGGAAGAAGGAUCUAUGGUUUGUAAACUUCUUUUAUAGGGGAAUAAAGUGGAGGACGUGUCCUUUUUUGUAUGUACCCUAUGAAUAAGCAUCGGCUAACUCCGUGCCAGCAGCCGCGGUAAUACGGAGGAUGCGAGCGUUAUCCGGAUUUAUUGGGUUUAAAGGGUGCGUAGGUGGUGAUUUAAGUCAGCGGUGAAAGUUUGUGGCUCAACCAUAAAAUUGCCGUUGAAACUGGGUUACUUGAGUGUGUUUGAGGUAGGCGGAAUGCGUGGUGUAGCGGUGAAAUGCAUAGAUAUCACGCAGAACUCCGAUUGCGAAGGCAGCUUACUAAACCAUAACUGACACUGAAGCACGAAAGCGUGGGGAUCAAACAGGAUUAGAUACCCUGGUAGUCCACGCAGUAAACGAUGAUUACUAGGAGUUUGCGAUACAAUGUAAGCUCUACAGCGAAAGCGUUAAGUAAUCCACCUGGGGAGUACGCCGGCAACGGUGAAACUCAAAGGAAUUGACGGGGGCCCGCACAAGCGGAGGAACAUGUGGUUUAAUUCGAUGAUACGCGAGGAACCUUACCCGGGCUUAAAUUGCAGAUGAAUUACGGUGAAAGCCGUAAGCCGCAAGGCAUCUGUGAAGGUGCUGCAUGGUUGUCGUCAGCUCGUGCCGUGAGGUGUCGGCUUAAGUGCCAUAACGAGCGCAACCCUU
rnacentral:rRNA from 1 species